UGCAUUAUUAUUCAGUUAUCAUGUCUUGUUCGUCUUGUGUUAUGGCUGAGUAGUCGGCUAGCUUGUCUAGGGUUCUAGGGUGUUAAUCGCGAAGCUAAACAUAAAUAAGAAACUCUUUUGUUUCUUCGUUCAUUCUAGUUCUUAAUGCUAGUCCUAACCUGUUCACUUACUGCUAGAUCUUAGGCUCAAUCACUCACUAACCGUGUAGUAGUUUACCUGAUAUCGAAUGAAUGAGCUGAGCAUCUCUAGUCAUCGAAAGUAGAUACUAGAGUGUUCAAUGAACCCAUCGGACUUGAUCUCUAUAGCUUGCGAUCGACCCUUGAUCCAAACGAUAGUUUAGGCGUCAAGGCCGAACCGCAAAGGGAAUAGCGCCACGACAGUGGGUUAUUCUACUAAAAGUGAUCCGUGUUCUAGAUCAUUUCUCAACGAGCUUGAAUAAAUGUUUGGCUAAGUUUUAACACCCGAU
rnacentral:lncRNA from 1 species